rnacentral:rRNA from 1 species
UGCGCAGGCGGUUUAUUAAGACAGAUGUGAAAUCCCCGGGCUCAACCCGGGAACUGCAUUUGUGACUGAUAGGCUAGAGUGUAGCAGAGGGGGGUAGAAUUCCACGUGUAGCAGUGAAAUGCGUAGAGAUGUGGAGGAAUACCGAUGGCGAAGGCAGCCCCCUGGGUUAACACUGACGCUCAUGCACGAAAGCGUGGGGAGCAAACAGGAUUAGAUACCCUGGUAGUCCACGCCCUAAACGAUGUCAACUAGGUGUUGGGGGAGGAGACUUCCUUAGUACCGCAGCUAACGCGUGAAGUUGACCGCCUGGGGAUACGGCCGCAAGGUUGAA